GACUGAAGAAAACACAGAGGAAACAAAAGCAGAAGAAACACUCCCUCCAUGUGGACGUGGUCUGUUUCUGGAGAAGCUUGAGCUGGCAGUCGCGAGAGUAAGACAAAGGAUCGAGUGUCCGGGCGAGAAACACGUGCGCCAGAUUCAGCUCAUCUCUUAAUAAACGUUUUAUAAAAUAUAAAUGUUCCCUUUCUUGUGUUGUGGUGUUUAAUUUGUACUUUUAUGCUGUUCUGGUCUGUGAAAUCCAAUAAAUUUGUUUUUUAACACA
rnacentral:lncRNA from 1 species